UAGUUAGCUUGAGGUGGGUGGAGAGGU
rnacentral:piRNA from 1 species